UGUCUCAUAAUGAUUAUGGUGAAAGAAAGAUUUUUAAAAUUGGGGUAGUCGUGUGAUGCUUCACUUCAUGACCACAACUUUUCCAGGCCCAAUUGUGGUUAUAAAUUGAGCACUACCUUAGCUGAAUACAGUUUACCUUAGGUACAUGUCACAUUAUAUUUACCCACCCCCACUCCAUGCCAGCGCAACAGCGAUAGAGAAGUGCUCAAUGAAUGCUGUUGAGAGAUGGGAAUUUUUAAUUAUUAUUUUUUUACAAAGUGGGAGGACUCAAAACACAGUGGUUAUUUUUAAACCCAAGCCUUGGUUCACAUUUUUGUAGUAGUUCCCCCCCCGAACCAUUUAGUUUUGCAAAGCGCCACGAUUUUUGUAGAUGCAGCCUGGCCAUUUCAUCUAGAACUAUUCCUUGGUUACAAGAAGAAAGGAGCAAGGAGAUUUCUUGUUGGCUCCUGACGGUCGAAAGGAUGGUGUGGCUGGGACGUAUUGUGUUCCACCCAGCGCCAGCAUUUCUUCUAACUCAGUGCAGGCUCUGCAAGAGCAAUGCAGAUUGGGUUGCUUUUUUGUGAAUCAUGGCACGCAGCUGGAGUGUCGAAAGACCUGGAGACUAUCACAUGUGAAACUGAUACAGGAGGAUUGCACAGACUUCCAAAUAAACUGCUUUCAGAAUACAUCGCCAGAGAUGAAGAAGUAAUAUCCUCCUAAAACAUCAUCUGCCUUCGCACGUAUGUUCUUUCUUCUCUUCUCGAACAAUAGUUUGGAAUUAGGUCAAAAAUGGAAAUGUAUUAGAAAACAUGAGCUGAUUACAAAUAGACCGUGCUGUCAUCUGCGUGUCUCAAAUUCCACAAGGCAUAGUAAUAUUACAAUAAAAGUCUCAUCUGGAAGCAUGUUUGGUUAGAUUAGAAUAAGCAACAUUCCUGAAAUGCAACAUUAUAGGAAUGUAAAGUAUUUGGCAUGGAAGAAUACAUAAAAUUACUUUAAAUCCA